rnacentral:lncRNA from 1 species
AUACAGUAGACAGGCUAUAUACAGUAGAGAGGCUAUAUACAGUAGAGAGGCUAUAUACAGUAGAGAGGUUAUAUACAGUAGAGAGACUAUAUACAGUAGAGAGGCUAUAUACAGUAGAGAGGCUAUAUACAGUAGAGAGGCUAUAUACAGUAGAGAGCUUAUAUACAGUAGAGAGGCUAUAUACAGUAGAGAGGUUAUAUACAGUAGAGAGGCUAUAUACAGUAGAGAGGUUAUAUACAGUAGAGAGGCUAUAUACAGUAGAGAGGCUAUAUACAGUAGAGAGGCUAUAUACAGUAGAGGCUAUAUACAGUAGAGAGGCUAUAUACAGUAGAGAGGUUACAUACAGUAGAGAGGCUAUAUACAGUAGAGAGGCUGUAUACAGUAGAGAG